AGAGGAACAAGCGAGGAUCUCAGAGCGCGACCUGGACAGGCUCUCACAAAAGUCACCGCGUUUGUGUAGGUAACUAAGGCCUACCGAAACCAGUCAGCCCUAAGUGCACACAGGAGAACCAUGGAGUUGGAGGAAAAGUCCAAGGUAGCCUGCUGGAUGGUGAGAGACACUUGCCUCAGUUUCUUGGUCAUCCUAGCCUACAAUCAGCUGUUUUCAGAAACAGAGUUGCCUAGCUGACCUGCAAUUGACCAUGGAUGCACGAGUGAGCCCAGCUGAGCUUAACGUCCCAUACAGAGAGAAGAAACAGACAACCUGAAUCACAUUCAAAAGAGAGUCUCCACAAUAGUGAGGGCUGCAAAACCAGGUGACAUGAAAACCAAGAGAAUGAAUUACAUAGAUUUGUUUAACCUAAGGAAGAAAAGAUUCUGGACACGUGAGGGCCGAUUUUCAUUCCUCAGAGCUCUCUCCUUUGGAGGCUUCUUUGUUUGGGCCCCACUUCCAUUCUUCACAUUCAGCAGUUACUGGGAGACGACCUUACCAUGGCCUGUCCCUCCGUGUUCAUCCCAAUCGCAUCCAGAUGCCUCUCUGGCCUCAUCUCCUAGUGUUCCUGUGUCCGGAAUUGGUGGGUUCUUGGUCUCGCUAACUUCAACAAUGAAGCCUCGGACCCUGGCGAAGAGGCAGAGGAUGUUGACACAAACUUACAGACUGGGACUCCAAGGAUCAGCCAGAUGAAAUGCUAUGUGCAGAGUCUUCAUUUCCCAGCUCAGUGGUGGACAGCAGAGGACUCUAAGAUCCAGCCACCUCUUGGGAUGCACACGUUUCUCUUCAACUGCGUGAUGUGAACUGCGUCACAUGACACAGUCAGCCCAAUGAAGGAGGAGGAGGAAAAGGAGGAGAAGAAGAAAA
ensembl:lncRNA PCAT1 prostate cancer associated transcript 1